GAUGAAGAACGUAGCGAAAUGCGAUAAGUAAUGUGAAUUGCAGAAUUCAGUGAAUCAUCGAAUCUUUGAACGCACAUUGCGCCCUCUGGUAUUCCGGGGGGCUUGCCUGUUCGAGCGUCAUUAUAACCACUCAAGCUCUCGCUUGGUAUUGGGGCUCGCGGUUCCGCGGCCCCUAAAAUCAGUGGCGGUGCCUGUCGGCUCUACGCGUAGUAAUACUCCUCGCGAUUGAGUCCGGUAGGUCUACUUGCCAGCAACCCCCAAUUUUUACAGGUUGACCUCGGAUCAGGUAGGGAUACCCGCUGAACUUAAGCAUAUCAAUAAGCGGAGGA
rnacentral:misc_RNA from 1 species